UACGUAGGGGGCGAGCGUUAUCCGGAUUUACUGGGUGUAAAGGGGGCGCAGACGGCAGCGCAAGCCAGGAGUGAAAGCCCGGGGCCCAACCCCGGGACUGCUCUUGGAACUGCGCGGCUGGAGUGCAGGAGGGGCAGGCGGAAUUCCUGGUGUAGCGGUGAAAUGCGUAGAUAUCAGGAGGAACACCGGUGGCGAAGGCGGCCUGCUGGACUGCGACUGACGUUGAGGCCCGAAAGCGUGGGGAGCAAACAGG
rnacentral:rRNA from 1 species